CCUACGGGAGGCAGCAGUGAGGAAUAUUGGUCAAUGGACGAGAGUCUGAACCAGCCAAGUAGCGUGAAGGAUGACUGCCCUAUGGGUUGUAAACUUCUUUUAUCAAGGAAUAAAACGAGGCACGUGUGCCUGGUUGCAUGUACUUUAUGAAUAAGGAUCGGCUAACUCCGUGCCAGCAGCCGCGGUAAUACGGAGGAUCCGAGCGUUAUCCGGAUUUAUUGGGUUUAAAGGGUGCGUAGAUGGGUUGUUAAGUCAGUUGUGAAAGUUUGCGGCUCAACCGUAAAAUUGCAGUUGAUACUGGCAGGCUUGAGUACAGUUGAGGUAGGCGGAAUGCGUGGUGUAGCGGUGAAAUGCUUAGAUAUCACGAAGAACCCCGAUUGCGAAGGCAGCUUACUAAACUGUGACUGACAUUGAUGCUCGAAAGUGUGGGUAUCAAACAGGAUUAGAUACCCUUGUAGUC
rnacentral:rRNA from 1 species